rnacentral:lncRNA from 1 species
AGAGGAUACAAGGUUUUUGAGAAGGGAUCAGAAAAAGAACUUCUGGCGAUCAAUGUUGAAAGGUCGAUGUAUUGUACUAGUGAAUCGAGAUUUUAAUGAAGUGGGUGUGAUUACUCUUGACUAUUUUGUGAAAUCAAAGUUACGUCUAUGAUUGAAGAAUUAAAAGGGUGUCUAUAGGAUUGAAUAUGUGGACUAAAUGAAAUUUUUUGGGUUAAUCUAAUAAGACAGUCAGUGGAUACAAGGUCGUGAGUAUAAAGUGGUAUUGGAGAUUAGCAGAUUGGGUUGUUCGGGGUUCUCUGUAAUGUCUAGAGACCUAUCGGCUGGGGCAAAAAGGAUUUU